rnacentral:tRNA from 1 species
GUUCCCAUCGUCUAGCGGUUAGGACAUCGCCCUUUCAAGGCGGCAACACGGGUUCAAGUCCCGUUGGGAAUACCA